CCUACGGGAGGCAGCAGUGAGGAAUAUUGGUCAAUGGCCGUAAGGCUGAACCAGCCAAGUAGCGUGAGGGAAGACUGCCCUAUGGGUUGUAAACCGCUUUUAUGCGGGGGUAAAGGUGUCCACGUGUGGAGGGUUGCAGGUACCGCAUGAAUAAGGACCGGCUAAUUCCGUGCCAGCAGCCGCGGUAAUACGGAAGGUCCGGGCGUUAUCCGGAUUUAUUGGGUUUAAAGGGAGCGUAGGCGGGUUUUUAAGUUUGACGUGAAAUUUUGGGGCUCAACCAUGAGAGUGCGGCGCGAACUGGAGACCUUGAGUGCGCGGAAGGCAGGCGGAAUUUGUGGUGUAGCGGUGAAAUGCUUAGAUAUCACGAAGAACCCCGAUUGCGAAGGCAGCUUGCCGCAGCGUUACUGACGCUGAAGCUCGAAAGCGCGGGUAUCGAACAGGAUUAGAUACCCUGGUAGUC
rnacentral:rRNA from 1 species